rnacentral:rRNA from 1 species
GAUGAACGCUGGCGGCGUGCCUAAUACAUGCAAGUCGAGCGAACAGACGAGGAGCUUGCUCCUCUGACGUUAGCGGCGGACGGGUGAGUAACACGUGGAUAACCUACCUAUAAGACUGGGAUAACUUCGGGAAACCGGAGCUAAUACCGGAUAACAUGUUGAACCGCAUGGUUCAACAGUGAAAGACGGUCUUGCUGUCACUUAUAGAUGGAUCCGCGCCGCAUUAGCUAGUUGGUAAGGUAACGGCUUACCAAGGCAACGAUGCGUAGCCGACCUGAGAGGGUGAUCGGCCACACUGGAACUGAGACACGGUCCAGACUCCUACGGGAGGCAGCAGUAGGGAAUCUUCCGCAAUGGGCGAAAGCCUGACGGAGCAACGCCGCGUGAGUGAAGAAGGUCUUCGGAUCGUAAAACUCUGUUAUUAGGGAAGAACAAAUGUGUAAGUAACUAUGCACGUCUUGACGGUGCCUAAUCAGAAAGCCACGGCUAACUACGUG